AUUGAACGCUGGCGGCAGGCUUAACACAUGCAAGUCGAGCGAGCGGCGGACGGGUGAGUAAUGUCUGGGAAACUGCCUGAUGGAGGGGGAUAACUACUGGAAACGGUAGCUAAUACCGCAUACCAUCAGAUGUGCCCAGAUGGGCUUAGCUAGUGGGUGGGGUAAUGGCUCACCUAGGAGACGAUCCCUAGCUGGUCUGAGAGGAUGACCAGCCACACUGGAACUGAGACACGGUCCAGACUCCUACGGUAGGCAGCAUUGGGGAAUAUUGCACAAUGGGCGCAAGCCUGAUGCAGCCAUGCCGCGUGUAUGAAGAAGGCCUUAGGGUUGUAAAGUACUUUCAGCGGGGAGGCGUUACCCGAAGAAGAAGCACCGGCUAACUCCGUGCCAGCAGCCGCGGUAAUAG
rnacentral:rRNA from 1 species